UGCCCGAUAGCUCACUCGGUUAAGGCACUGCGUUGCAGUGCAGAAGUGACCGUCGCGGGUUCGAGCCCCGGUCGUACCA